rnacentral:rRNA from 1 species
UACGUAGGGGGCAAGCGUUAUCCGGAUUUACUGGGUGUAAAGGGAGCGUAGACGGCCUGGCAAGUCUGAUGUGAAACCCUGGGGCUCAACCCCGGGACUGCAUUGGAAACUGUUUGGCUGGAGUGCCGGAGGGGUAAGCGGAAUUCCUAGUGUAGCGGUGAAAUGCGUAGAUAUUAGGAGGAACACCAGUGGCGAAGGCGGCUUACUGGACGGCAACUGACGUUAAGGCUCGAAGGCGUGGGGAGCAAAC